GCGGCCACUAAUGAAAUAUAAAGGAAAAAAGGCAGUAGCUGAUCUGGUAAUCAAUAAAGGACUGGAGCCAAAUAUAUAGAGGAGGUCACAUCCGGCCACUUCCGGUCGCCAUCUUUGUUUCGUAAAGCGUAAAGAGUUUUUCUUUUUCUUUUUAAACUUAAUCUGACAGAAGAGUGAGUAAAGGAUUUGGAAAUACCCCAUAACAGUGGCAUCAGAGGCACGAUUGUGUUGUUCCCCAGAGUUUUCUCAUCCUCCAAAGCUCUUGACACGACAUCCAACUGAAGCCGUCUUCAAUUUCUCCAGACAGAUGAAAGAUGCAGUAACAACAUGCGAGCAGGCAGCUGAAUGAUGCCACCAGCUGCUUGUUGUGGUGUGUGUUGGAGCUCUAUCUGUACCUGGAGCAGGCAGCUCCAGCUUCGCCCUCCUGAGCUCCGUCAUGGACGCCUGCAGCUGCUCCACCACAAAGUCGUCCUCGAAGUAGAAAUUUUUGGACAAAGCCACCUGCAGAAACUCCACCAGCUCCUCCAUGGACAGCUUCAUCAGCAGCGUUGCGUGUCUCACCAGGUGUUGUUUCAGUUUGGGCAUCAUCUUCUUGAGGAUGCGGUCGUGAUGCUCCUGGAAACGGAUCAGCUUUGGGAAGCCGGGGAUAAAAAACCCUAAAGCAAAGUCCUGAAACUUGGAGACGACCCAGCGGUCGUCGGCCUGAUGUGUGACAGUGACUCUCUGCAUACAGAGGGAGGUCUAACAGCUGCUCCUAACAACCUUCAGCUGAACCGGCCCAAAACUACAGAGAUGACAGCAGGUUUCGGCCCCCAUCAUCUCAGAACAACACAAUGUUUCCACAAGCUGAUGAAC